rnacentral:misc_RNA from 1 species
AAGUCGUAACAAGGUUUCCGUAGGUGAACCUGCGGAAGGAUCAUUAAUGAUUGGUGGCUGUUGCUGACUAGUGUUUCUAGUAUGUGCACGCCACACCUUCAAUCCCACUUACACCUGUGCACCUUCUGUAAUAGAUCUAUGUGGAUACGGAGAUGUGAAAGUUUGCGCUCUCCUACUCUGUUGAAGCACAGUCUACUACGUUUUUUUUUUACACACACACACAAUAGUCAUUGAAUGUAUUUUUUUUAUUCUUAUGAUAAAAACAACUUUCAACAACGGAUCUCUUGGCUCUC